rnacentral:lncRNA from 10 species
GCCCUGUCAGCUUGCUCCUCCCUGCAUCCACAGUUUUCCACAAUGUGGGUACUGGCCCCCUUGCCUAGUUGCCUCCCCCAUACUCCCUUUUCCUCCCAGCCCUGUCCUCUUGCUCCUGAAGCCCUAUACCCUUCCUCUAUGUUUUCACCCCCGACCCCACUGCCCCACCUGCCAUCCCAAUUAUCUCACAUUUACAGUCCCGUUGGUUCUUGGUAAGCUCAAAGCCAGGACGGCAUUCACAGGCAAUACCCCCCUUGGGUGUCUCCCGGCAAAUGUGGGCACAGCCGUGGUUCUUGUUCAUGCAAUUCAUUCCUUCUAAAAGAGAAGAAAGGGGUGUGAAUGCUCUGUACCCCUGGAUGUCUAGAAAAGAAAAACUACAGGGGGCAACUGGGGACCUAGGGAACUGGGAGAAUUCUACUGAGGUUGAAUUCAACACGAGGGGACUGACUCUCCUUGUCCCAGGCCUCCUGUCUUCCCCACAGACCUGGGUGCUCAUGAGCAGAGCACAGAGCUGUUCUGAAUGAUGUAUAACUAGCUAGCUAUUGAUACUCAUCCCAACGAAUGAUCACCCUUUCCUUUAAACAACCAAAACAUUGUGUAUAAUAGGUGUCCAGCACUGUGCUGGAGAUGGGGUGGAUUUAGGAAGGUCCUAGAAAAAUACAAGGUGUGAUCACUCCCCUCAAAGAGCUUACAGUCAAACUGGGAAGAAGAUCAGUAGCAAUCAGAUCUACAAUGAGAGUGGAGGGUAAUUGGUAUAGAUAUUUACUAUGCAAUUUUAUUCAACAAACAUUUAUUAAACUCUCACUACACGCAGGGCAGUAUGUUAGGUGCUGGGGAUACAACAAUGAGUUAGACAUAGUCCCUGCCCUCAGGGAUGUCACAGUCUAGUGGGAGUGGGGGGCAUGAGUCAUAGAAACAGCCAAUAUAAACCCAUUAUUCCUGCCUGACCCUCCCAUGCCAAUCCAAGGAAAAAGAUAUGGUGAGGCCCUCUCAGAUAGGCAGCAGCUUAGAGAAGCUCAGCCAUCUACAAUUAGGGACAACAUCCACCUCAGGUCUGGACACAGAGGAUACUCCAUAGUAGCCUUAAUCCCAUAUUGAUCCCAACCUCAAAGUAAUUUCCCCAGAUUUUGCCCUAACAGGGUGUCUGUUCCUAGAUCCUUUAGGGUGUGAUUGAGUUGAAGGACAAGAGAAGAAGGAGCUAGCUGAGUUGAGAAUGGAGGGUGAGACUUAGGGGCUGCUGAGGGACAGCUGGGAAGAGAAGCCUGGGGAGGGCAGGGAUGGGGCCAUCCCAGGUCAUGGGCUGACCUUCUGGCCGCUGGAUACAGGUAUGCUGGUUGUCGCUGAGGAAGAAGCCUUCCCGGCAGUGGCACUCAUAGCUGCCCAUCAUGUUGACACAGCUCUGCUGACAGCCGCCGUUGCCCUCGGCACACUCGUCCACAUCUGUGCAGGAUAGGUAGUCAGUGGGGUCAUGGGGUACAGGCAGGGUCCAGGGUAUAUCCCAAGACUUCAGCACCAAAGGCAGUCUUAAGAACUACUACCCCCUAAGCCCAGCCUUAAGCCAGGAAGUCCUCACACCCUUGUCAGCUAAUAUUUCACUAAGUGUAAAAAGGCUGCCCUGAGGGCAGAGCUGGGAAGCUAAGCAAGUGGGGGAAAAGGGGACCUUUGAACCUCAAAUGUCACCUAGGUGAAGCCAUGCCUCCCUUUCCCUCACCUGUGUAAACUGGGUAUGAAGACAGAGGACACCAGGAAAGAAGCCAGAGAAAGAGGAACAGUGAUGAAGAGACAGGGUCUUGCUCUGCUUAUCCAGGCAGGAAUGCAAUGGCAUGAACAUAGCUCACUGCAACCUCGAAAUCCUGGGCUCAAGUGAUCCUCCCACCUCAGCCUACUGAGUAACUGGGACUAUAUGCGCGUGGCAUCAUGCUCAGCCAAUUUUUUAAAAUUUUUAGAGGCAGGGUCUUGCUAUGUUGCCCAAGCUGGUCUCGAACUCCUGGAUUUGAACGACCCUCUCAUGUCAGCCUCCCAAAGUGCUGGUAUUACAGGUGUGAGUCGCCAUGCCUAGCCAAGGUUUGCUACUAUUAUUCCUUCUCUCCAACCUUCUCCCUGUAUUCUUUCUGAACUCCCUUUCCCUAUCAAAGCCCCAUUUCAGGCCUGGUGUGGGGAAAUGCAGCACCAGGUGAGCAUGUGUUGGUGGGGAGGAUUUGGGGAGACACAUCCCCACUGCUUACUCUACCUGUGCUGGGAACUGCACAAAGAAUGGGGGUGAAGUGGGUGAGAGGCCAGUUGGGAACCCAAAAGCUGUCCUCUACAAUUCUUUUUGAAGGCUAGGGAGAUCCCACUCCUACUUCAGGCCAUGCAUUGGAACCAAAGUUGAGGUGGGGGAGAGUGGUGGCUGCACAGAUACCAUAGACAAGCCAAGACCUCCCUGCCUCGCCCUGUCCUGGCAUGAAGGCACAGGUCUGUAACUACAGCAGCUUUUCCCAGUACCAUCUGACAUUUCUUCUGAAUUUGCUUUAGCGCCUAGCAGAGCACUCCAUAAACUCUCCUAAAGUAGGUAGGAAGGGUAGGAUGGGGUAUGGGAUAUGAGGGUCAGAGGGUCAGACCAGAAAGGGUGGAUUAUUAUAAAACAAGUAGUCCUAAGAUUCUGAGGAUGGGCAGGUGUACCCUAAAAGGGAAGCAGUGGGAUUCCCAAGUAAAUACUUCAUCUACUUCACAAGUUUGCCCAAGCCCAGCUCAGGAACAGUAACAAAUGGAAAUGAGCAGGGAUGCCGGCUGUGGACAAGCAGACCCCCUAGGUAGAGUCCACCCCACCUUCCCAUUACCACAGGAAUUAUUACCUUACCACCCAUAGGGGAGGGGGUAAUUGUGGGCAAAUUUGAUGGGCCCAGUGGGACAGUCAGAAACAGCCUGCCUAGAGCCCUAAUGUACCCACCCACAUAGCUGUGACAUCCUCAGCCCAGCCAGGCUAGCCCAGGAUAUAUGGUGUGUGUAGCGCACUCUGCUAUUUUCCUCUCCUUGAAUGUCCUUGAGGACCCAGUUCAGGUGCCUCUGCUGGGACACUCCCUGUGACACUACCAGCCUUCUCUGAUCUACUCUUUCUCUUGACUCCUAAGACUUACUGUCAGGCUCUCUGGUCACCUGAUCAAUCCCAGGCUUGUGAUACCUCAUAUGCUACCUUGUACCAUUAUUUAACUUUUAGUUCAUGUGUAUAAUUUUCCUACUGAAGCAGUAGGAGCUUGAGGCCAUGGCUCCUAAAGCUUUGAAACCCAUGCAGCAACUGAAAUAGAGCUCAGCAUUCAUUCAUUCACUCACUCACUCAAUAGUUAUUGAGCACCUCCAACAUGCGAAGCACCGUGCUAGGUGCUGGGGAUUUGGCAGUGAACCAGAGAUGAAUUCUACAUUGAAGCCACUUAGUAAAUAUUUGUUAAACAGAUAGACGAGUGGAUGGAGACAUGGAUGCAUUAGUAGUGAGUGGAUAAUGUCUCUAUCUGUGGCAUCCCUUCUGCUCUAUGUUACCUCAGAGAAAAAUCUCACUUCUUUACUCUCCGUGAUCCCACAACUGUUCUGGAUGGGGGAAGUCCCAGGAAGUUUAGUCUCAAGUGGAGAGUAGGGAGAGAGGAAACUAAAUUCAGAGGGGUAGUACCCACUUAAAGGCAUCCAUAUGAUGAGUGCUGGGGCCAGAAGAGACUGGAACCAAUGAGUCAUAGGGUCUCAGGGUCUUCAGACAUCAUAUGGGGCUGCUACAGGGAUCUUUUCAGAGCAUCCCCUUCAACAGAUGUUCCUCAGCCUCCAUGCUAACUCUCAAUGAUGGGGCACCUGACACAGGCAUUCCACUGCUUGCCCCUGGUGAUUUCCCUCAUUCUCACCUCUAAGUAACAUCCAAAAUAAAACCAGCCCAGCCUUGGGCCAUGAUAUCCUAACCCACAGCAUGUGCACAUGUACCCACAUCUGCAUAUCUGCUCUACCUCCAGAUCAAAAUAGCAACCAGGGAGAUUGGCAGAGCCUGGAGUACCAGGCUGUCUUCCCAGUUUGGGACUGGCUGAGGCACUGUGACUUCAGUGAGAGUCUGGGCCCAUCCUCAGUCUAGAAAAAGCUUAUGCAAGGAUGAGGGUAGCCUAGAGAAAGUCCAGAAAACCACACAAAUGACCACCUGUUGAUUCCAAGGCGGAGACAGAGCACUUUCUCCUUUUAAAAACAGUAUCCUCUCCUCUCACUCAAGCUUAGCCUGCUCAACUGAACAGCCAGGAAAAGCUGCUGGUGUUUGGUGAUUUGAAGGGAAGGGGGUCUGAACCUCAGAAGCUUGUCACUUACUGGGGACCCUGAUGAGUUUCUCUCUGUUGUCCUGCCUUAUCCCUAAUCUAGCUCCCUGAUCAUUUGAAUGUAACCCUAAUUGGACAAGAAUUUUCUCCCUUUCAGUAUGGACAAAAUCAACAACCAUGAAUCAGAGACUUUUAGAGGAUGGGUAGUGAAGUGGGGGAAGAACAGAACAUUGUAGAGUGAGGGGCAGAGAGGCAGGCAGUGGGCAUGGGUAGGUUCUGGUUUUGUGAUUAGUAAUAUUAUCUCUUUAAUUGAAAAAAAUAAACUCAUUUCAGAUUCGUAUAAUUUCACUAAGUGUACAGUUUUUUCAUGCAGGUUGGUUCACGUGGUCUUCAAACUGUCCUCUCUCAUCUGGGGCCCAGUGAGGAUACCUCAGGAAAGAGCAAGUAGCUAGUGUAAAGCCAGGAUCCAGGUCUUCAAACUCCCAGUCCAGUGCUCUCUAACUACCCACUGUGUUCUCUAAGCACUUGAGGGAGGAAUCCAUGCCUUAGUCAUUAUUGUACCUCCCCCAACUCCACCUCAGCACUUAGUUCAGCAUGAAGCAUGCAUCCAGUAUAUAACCGUGGAGCGGAAGGAGCUGAAAUGUACAUGAUCCAGGGAGGAAAUCAGCAGUGGGAAUGCAGAUGCUCUGAGGCUUUGGGCAUGGGAGCAGCAGAAGAGAGCAAGGCUGAGUAGUGGGCAGGGAGGGUACAGACACAGUUGCAAUAAGGAAAGGGUGGGCAAUGCAACAGUGGGCAGGUGUUGCCUGCCCUUGGAUUCACUAUGCUGGGGCCAAGCAGCUGGUUAGAAACAAAAACAAACACCAGGGAUACAGGUUCCUGCUGUUAACAGCUUCAAACCGCCAGAGGAAAACUCCAAAUAAAUAUAAUUAGAAACUUGUAAAAACGUCCUCUCUGUAAACCUGCUCCCCAGGGUCUACCCUUCAAGCACUCCCCUUCCCCAGCCCUCCCCCCAAUGCCCACAUAUCCUGAUACUCCCCACUUUCAGAGGGAUUCCUUAGAUGUGUUUCCUUAUCCUGGAUCUUCCCUCCAGCCCUGCAGCCCCUGCCCAGGUCUUUCCUCAGCUUGUUACCACCAGUGACCAGACCUGAAGAGCCCCUGGUGUAGGCUCAGAAAUCCAAACCCCACAGCUCUCUAGGGCUAUGGUUAUAACCACAGGGAAAACCAGAGGUAAGAGCAAGGACCACUGUGCCCUAUAUAGGGGUCAUCAUCCCAUUUGUUCAGCCAAAGCACAGCAUCUAACAGCAACUACAAAGCAGUGCUUGAUCUGCAGGGGGACAUGUCUAGGCUAGGGCAGAAUACAGACAGCUAGUCUCAGAGCUAGAAACACGGAAUCCUGGGGCCCAGAUCCAAGAAUAUUCAGUUCCCAUAACACGGAUAUUUCAGCUCCACUUCCCAACUUUGUUGGAUACACACAUAUAGAAACACACAUGUGUUCUUCAGGGGCUAUUUCCAGGGAUAAAUACCCACUUCAUGGACACAGUAAGAACUAUCAGCUACUUGGGGUUCCAGGAAACUGGGGUGGGGGAAGAAAGGAAGAGUAUCCAGAUGACCUAGCCUCAGGCAGGCAGAAGUGGACCAGCAUCCAAGGAGGAGAGCGCCUGAGAUUUGGGUGAGUAACCUGUGGAGGCCCGGCGCCUUCUGCCUUCAGCAGGAAGGAUUUCAGUGAGAUGUGCAGAAUCUCAGGGCUGCAGGGAACCCUACUGAUAUUUUACAAGUGAGAAGAGGGAUUUCAGUGAUUUCCUCCGAGGCUCAAAUCCUUAGGCUCUGCAUUUGUCUAAACCCACUGGCACCAUAUACCUCUAUAUCCCCGGUGCCACUUGAGGCUGGCAUUGGGUGGGCAUAGGAACAGGAGAGUAGCCAGUCCAAUGUUAAGUGGCCAGUGGGGGAGGGGAGUCUCUGUCCCCUCUUAGCCCAGGUGACUAGCUCCUGUACCCCCUAGACAUCCCUGGGUUGGCCGUUGUUUCGCUUCUAUACCCAAGGCCCAGCAGUCCUUCUGUUUCCAGACUCCAGUCUUCUGAGCCUGAAGAAGCUGUCCCCAGGUCUGGGCCUCUUGCAGGCACUGCCAGCCUCAGAGCAGCUCUGCAGUUUCCAGCCCUGACAGGGACUCUUUCUUAUAAGUGGUCAUGUGCUAGGGAUACGGGAUGUCAAAGGAGGCCCACACCCUGACAUUUGGGGACCAGAGCUGGGGGAAAGGACUGAGUGAGUUCAGGCAGCAAGCUCUUCCAGCUCCAUCUUCUCAAAAGGUCUGAAGCCCUUCGUUCCCUUCCCCUGUCCUCAGUUCAAGGCACUGGACCAAGCCAUUCCACUUCUUUACUUCUCCAACUAAAACAAAAUGCAUAUUGCCCCACUUCCUUUUUCCUCUCACCAGAGCACUUCACACACACACACACCCUGAGUCAUGCACACACAUUCACACGUGUGUGAAUGCACACUUCACAUUCCCAAACUCACACCCAGGGCCGGCUCCUCUUACAACAGGUCCCAGCUGCUCACAUCUCAAACCGGUUCUCAUGCUCUCAGAUUCCUGAAGGUUUCAAAAAACAAUCUCAUUUGAGGGCUGCUGAUGACUGUCUUCUUUCUCUGCCU